rnacentral:rRNA from 1 species
UCCAGACUCCUACGGGAGGCAGCAGUGAGGAAUAUUGGCCAAUGGACGAGAGUCUGAACCAGCCAAGUAGCGUGAAGGAUGACUGCCCUAUGGGUUGUAAACUUCUUUUAUAAAGGAAUAAAACGAGGCACGUGUGCCUUUUUGCAUGUACUUUAUGAAUAAGGAUCGGCUAACUCCGUGCCAGCAGCCGCGGUAAUACGGAGGAUCCGAGCGUUAUCCGGAUUUAUUGGGUUUAAAGGGAGCGUAGAUGGGUUGUUAAGUCAGUUGUGAAAGUUUGCGGCUCAACCGUAAAAUUGCAAUUGAUACUGGCAGUCUUGAGUACAGUUGAGGUAGGCGGAAUUCGUGGUGUAGCGGUGAAAUGCUUAGAUAUCACGAAGAACCCCGAUUGCGAAGGCAGCGUACCGGCUCCACACUGACGCUGAGGCACGAAAGCGUGGGUAUCGAACAGGAUUAGAUACCCCAGUAAA